rnacentral:rRNA from 1 species
CUCCUCAUAGGACGAGGCUGAGGCGGCCGCGUUUCCACUAGUGAUUUCUGUUUGAUCCCGGCGGAGGCUACUGCUAUUGGGAUUCGAUUAAGCCAUGCAAGUCGAACGAAUUUAGAUUCGUGGCGUACGGCUCAGUAACACGUGGAUAACCUACCCUUAGGACCGGGAUAACCCUGGGAAACUGGGGCUAAUACUGGAUAGAUGAUUUUUCCUGGAAUGGGUUUUUGUUUAAAUGUUUUUUCGCCUAAGGAUGGGUCUGCGGCAGAUUAGGUAGUUGGUUAGGUAAUGGCUUACCAAGCCUAUGAUCUGUACGGGUUGUGAGAGCAAGAGCCCGGAGAUGGAACCUGAGACAAGGUUCCAGGCCCUACGGGGCGCGGCAGGCGCGAAACCUCCGCAAUGUGAGAAAUCGCGACGGGGGGAUCCCAAGUGCCAUUCUUAACGGGAUGGCUUUUCUUAAGUGUAAAAAGCUUUUGGAAUAAGAGCUGGGCAAGACCGGUGCCAGCCGCCGCGGUAACACCGGCAGCUCUAGUGGUAGCUGUUUUUAUUGGGCCUAAAGCGUUCUUACCCGGUUUGAUAAGUCACUGGUGAAAUCCUUGAAGCUUAACUGUGGGAAUUGCUGGGGAUACUGUCUAACUUGAAGUCGGGAGAAGUCAGCCGUACUCCCAGCGGAGAGGGUAAAUUCUGUAAUCCUGGAAGGACACCUGUGGUAGAGGCGGUUACUGGAUAGUACCUGUCCGUGAGGGACGAAUGCUAGGGGUGCGAACCGGAUAGAUUACCCGGUGAGUCCUGCCUUGAACCUAUCGGACUUUGGCGUUGGCUUGCUUUUUAGCCUCUCCUUUUCCGAAGGAAUCUUU